UUUUUUUUUUUUUUUUUGGUCUUUUUUGCCAUUUCUCAGGCUGCUCCUGCGGCAUCUGGAAGUUCCCAGGCUACUGGUCAAGUCAGAACUGUAGCCACUGGCCUACACCAUAGCCACAGCAACGCGGGAUCUGACCUGCGUCUGCAGCCUAUACCACAGCUCAUGGCAAAGCCAGAUCCUUAACCCACUGAGCAAGGCCAGGGAUAGAACCCACAACCUCAUGGUUCCUAGUCGGAUUCGUUAACCACUGAGCCACGAUGGAAACUCCCAAGCUCUUUUUUUUUUUUUUUUUAAUAACACAUAAUCACAGAUUAAUUUUUACACCUAACAAAAUUAACUAUUCCUAAAUGUCGUCUCCUGUCCAGUUAGCAUUUAGAUUUCCCCAUCUCACAGUCACUUAUGGUUGCUCUUUUUGCACUGGGAGGCAAGCAGGGUUCACUUGGAGCACCUGGCUCAAGGUUCCAUUGCUUUACAGAACCUUCUGUGACGUCCUGAGGCACCCAUCCUGCCUCCCUGCUGGCAACCUGGAGCUGCCCUCUCCGGCCAAGAGCUGGCAGAGCACCCCACUCUUGUCUGUCUUUUUCCUUUUUUUUUUAGGGCUGCACCCACAGCAUAUGGAGGUUCCCAGACUAGGGUUCUAAUUGGAGCUGUAGCUGCUGGCCUACACCACAACCACAGCGAUGUGGGAUCCGAGCCGAGUCUGUGACUUACAUCACAGCUCAUGGCAAUGCCAGAUCCUUAACCCAUUGAGCGAAGCCAGGGAUUGAACCCGCCACCUCAUGGUUCCUAGUCAGAUUCGUUUCCGCUGGGCCAUGAUGGGAACUCCUAUUUUUUCUCUUUAAAGAAAUUGGCCAGAGUGCUACCUUCAGCUGAUGCAUGGCCUGGCCCUUGAAUUGCUGGAUCAUGGUUGCCCACCCAGUUCAUUUGUUAGACCAGCCUUUAUUGUGCCUACUGUGCCCACCAGGGCUCAUGGUCACUGGCAAGUCUGACUGAUGGUGAGAGGUGCCCUGCUCACUCUGAACCAGGAGAAGGAAGCUGUCUUUGUCCCAGUGCUUUAACUGGGGACACUGGGGUUCAAAGUGAGAACUGACAUCCCACACUGACUGCUAGCAAGACUUGAUGAGAUCCUGAGUGCUGCCCUCCCUGGGCCUCAGUUUCCUUGUUUUAGGCCAGCACACCCCUGAAGCCCUGGCAGUGGACCAGAUUCUCCCUCAGUGGCGGUGUCAGGGCAAGCCUAGGACUCCGUUCUUCAUUCUCCUGGGGUGCCCUCCCUUGGCCUUCCCCCUCACAUCCCACCCUACAUGCUCUGCAGGGGUCCAGGCUUGUCCAUCACCCUGAGAGAUUCCUGACCCAGGGCAGUCAGAGGGAAUGCAGGCCCUUGGGAGGUGCUGCCAGGUGGGCUGUUUGCAGUCGUGAACCUGAGGCUGUGCCUAAUAUCACCCAUUGCCUGUUGCAGAGCCUGGGAUUGUGGAUGUUCAACUCGGUUUAGGUGAGGGCAGACUCCCACAGCAGCUUAAAGCAAGUCAGCAUUCUCACCGGCACUUAGUGUUGUCUGGUUUUGUCAUCUUGGCCAGCGUGGUGAGGGAGAAAGAGUGUCUCAGGAUUUGAUUUAUUUCUUCUGUGACCAGUCUGUUCUGCCAUUAACACUCUUUUUGAAAAUGCACAUUUUUUUUCCCAGAGCGAUUGAUAUUUGAGGGAACAAUGUGAGCAUAAUCAAGGUUUAGUAUUUAUGUAUGAGCAGUUUUAUGCUCGUUAAAUACCAGGUGAACACAGAGCCUGUAAUCAGUGACUCUCUUACCUGCCUCUGCGGCAGCUUUGUCUCAUUUCAGAAGCCCCACUUUCCCCCACUGGACACAGCAUACCCACAGGCAGGCAUCAGGGCUUCGUCAAGAUAAAGUGCCAUAUAUUGCAGCAUUUUGUGUGUUUUUAAACUACCUAAUCCUUGGAAAACUGCCUUUUCUUGUUAAUUGGGGGAAAAAGAGAAAACCACUUUAGAUCUCCUGGCUGAGUCUGUCACCUAUACCACAGCUCGCAGCCACGUCAGAUCCUUAACCAGGCUCCUUAACCCACUGAGCGGGACAAGGGAUCAAACCUCCAUCCUCAUGGAUAGUGGCCAGGUUCUUAACCACUGAGGCACAAGGGUAAUUCCCCCACCUCCCCUUGCAUACCUGUUACUUUCUUCCACUAGUGAAACACCUGGCUUCCCCAUCCCCCAUAGCUACAUUAAUCGAUUCAUUCUAACAGACCUCACAGUAGUGUCAGAACUGUUGACCUAUACCCCCUUGGGAAAUAGUUUAUCAACUAGAGUAUAGUGCUUAUGUGUGGUUCUUUUUGACUUUGGUCUUAAGAACUGACUUCCAAUACGUUACUUAAGCAAAUACCUUAUUUGCUCUCCCGUUCAAUGAGGUGGUUUCAUCCAUCUGUAAUGCAGUUAGAUUGUUUUGCCAUAUUCUGCGUUCCAUCCUAGGAUCUCCUGACCUAAAAGAUUUUUUUUUUAAUUUCUUUUCUUUCUUUUUUUUUUUUUUUUUUUAAGUCUUUUGUCUUUUUAAGUCCUCACCUGGGGCAUAGGGAGGUUCCCGGGCUAGGGGUGUAAUCGGAGCUGUUGCUGCCAGCCUAUACCAGAACCACAGCAACGCCAGAUCUGAGCCUCGUUUGUGACCUACACCACAGCUCACAGCAAUGCUGGAUCCUUAACCCACUGAACGAGGCCAGUGAUUGAACCUGCAACCUCAUGGUUCCUAGUCAGAUUCAUUUCUGCUGUGCCACGACGGGAACUCCUAAAAAUUUUUUCAUUAAGUUUCACUCUUUAGGAGUUCCCAUCAUGGCGCAGUGCUUAACGAAUCCAACUAGAAACCAUGAGGUUUCGGGUUUGAUCCCUGGCCUUGCUCAUUGGGUUAAGGAUCUGGUGUUGCCAUGAGCUGUGGUGUAGGUCACAGACGCAGCUCGGAUCCCGAGUUGCUGUGGCUGUGGUGUAGGCCAGCGGCUACAGCUCCGUUUUGACCCCUAUCCUGGGAGCGGCCCAAGAAAUGGCAAAAAGACAAAAAAAAAAAAAAAAAAGUUUCACUCUUUAUACUGUAAAGUCAUGAAGGUUUUGACAAAUGUGUAGUGUCAUUUAUCCACCAUUACAGUAUUAUACAAAAUUGUUUUAUUGCAUUAGAAAAAUCCCCUGUGCUUUACCUAGNCCCCCCCCCCCCCCCCCAAAAUGAACUCCUGGCAAUCACUGUUGUUACUUUCUCCAUAGUUUUGUCUUUCUAGAGUGUCACAUAAUUGGAAUCACAUAAUAUGUAGGCUUUUCAGACUGGUUUCUUUCACUUAGCAACGUAUGUUUAAGAUUCAGGUCUUUUCAUGGCCUGAUAGUUCUUUUUAAACAAUUUUUUUUUUUAAAUCACAGAAUAAUAUUUCAUUGGAUAUACCACAGUUUGUGUAUCCAUUCACACUGGGGCAUCCCAGUUACUUCCAGUUUGGGGUGAUUAUUAGUAAAGCUGCUAUAAAACAUCCAUGUGCAGGUUUUGAGUGGACAUAACUUUUUAACUCCUUUAGGUAGACACCAAAGAGAGGGGCACUUGCUGGAUCAUAGGGUAAGAGUAUGUUUAGUUUUGUAAGAAACUGCCGAACUGUCUUGCAAAGUGGCUGCACCAUUCUCUUUCUGCCAGCAGUGAAUAAGAGUUCCUGUUGCUCCACAUCCUCACCAGCAUUUGGCGUUGUCAGUGUUUUGGGUUUUAGUCAUUUCAGUGGGCAUCUCAUUGUUCUUGUUUGCAUUUCUCUGCUGACACAUAGUGCGGAAUGUGUUUUCAUGUAUUUGUUUGCUGUCUGUAUAUCCUCUUUGGUGAGGUGUCUGUUCUGUUCUUUUGCUCAUUUUAAAAUUGAAUUGUUUGUUUUCUUAUUGUUGAGUUUUGAGAGUUCUUUUCUUUUUUUUUUUUUUAAUGGUCACAUCGUUGGCAUAUGGAAGUUCCUGGGCCAAGGGUAGAAUCUGAGCUGCAGCUGUGUCCUUUAAGCCACUACAUCGGCCCAGGGGUCAAACCUGCACCUCCUCAGCGACUAAAGCUGCUGCAGUUGGAUUUUUAACCCACUGCGCCACAGUGGGAACUCUGAGAGUUCCUUAUCCAUUUUGGUUAUGAGUCCUACUUGGUGAUUAAUUUCUCCUAGUCUGUGGGUUCUUUUCAUUUCCUCAGCAGUGUCUUUCACAGCAGAGUUUUAAAUUUCAGCACCAUUUUGCUUUCAUGUUAAGAUCAUCAUCACCAAAUAUAAGGUCGUAUAGAUUCUUUUCCCAUGUUUUUUAUCUAGUGGUUUUACAGUUUUGCAUUUUAUGUUUAGGUCUGUAGUUCAUUUCAGGUUGGUAUUUGUGAGAUGUAUAUGAUCUGUUUCCAGAUUCAUUUUUUUCGCAUGUGGAUGUACAGUUCCAGUGCCAUUUUUUGAAGAGACUUUGUGAAAUUGCUUUUGCUCCUUUGUCAAAGAUCAGUUGCUAAAUAUGUGGAAGUCCAUUCCUGGGAGCUCUGUACUGUCCCAUUGACGUAUGCAGUUAUCCUUUUUCCAAUACCCUGCUCUCUUGAUUUUUUGUGACUUUUAAUUUUAUUAGGUUUCUAACAUUUUAUGUGUUCAUGAUGAUUCUUCUCUUUAAGCUCUGUGGGUUUUGGUGUGUGGCUCAGUACACCUGCCUGGGGUCUGCUGGCCCAGGUCUUGAGCUCUGGGGUGGCAGGGUUGGUCCUGGUCAUCAUCAACCAAUGUAGUCCCUUUUUUUUUUUUCCCACUCUUGAGAAAAAGUAAUAGAAUGCUUAUGGUUAAAAAGAAAAAUCGCUAGUACAGUUGCUUAUUUUUUGUUGGUUUGUUUUUUGCUUUUUUGUCCUUUUAGGUCCUCCCUGGGACAUAUGGAAGUUCCCAGGCUAGGGGUCAAAUCAGAGCUGCAGCUACUGGCCUACGCCACAGCCACAGCAAUGCAGGAUCCAACUUGGGUCUGCAUUCUGCACCACACUCAUGGCAAUGCUGGAUCCUUAACCUACUGGGUGAGCCAGGGAUUGAACCUGCCUCCUCAUGGAUAAUAGUUGGGUUUGUUAUUGCUGAGCCACAAUUGGAACUCCCAGUUGGUUAGAUUUUUGAUGGAAGAUGAGUAUGACACUCCUCUGUGUCUUUGUGUCCCUGUUUUUGAGGUGGUCUACAGGACCUUCUGUUUGGGCAGCUCAGUCAGAGUUGGCUUUACUCCUGGUAAACCACCUGGAGAGCAGCUUAACUUACUAGCCUUAUGCAUUUGACCUAGGCAUCAGUUAGAGGAGGGGUGUGGACUCAGCUACUGCUUAGACCUAGGAUAAAAUCCUCCUUGGGCGUUUACUAGCUGCCUGCUGCACAGGCAGGGGCCAGUUGCUAGGUCCCUCUAAAAGUGACAGAUGCAUACCCAUUUGGGCUUCAGGUGCCUUCACUAUUAUUUCAGGUAUUCACAUCCUCUGUGAGCCCCUUUCCAGCCUGCCAGGCUCUAGGUCUGGUCCAUCCUCUGUUCUAGUGCCAGAUUCCACCCUGGAGAUGCCCACCUAGCUUUUCCCCAUGCCCGCUCCUCCUCUUGACCACCUUUGGGACAGGUCUGUAGGGACCUGAAGUGGAUUUAUGGGUGGUGUGGGUGGUGUUCCACAUGCCUGGCCGGCCAUGUCUGCAUCUCCCACAGUCUUUCAUUGCCAAGCACACCUCUUUUCCAAAAUGUUCUCUUGGGAUCAGUGUCUCACCUCCUUUGUGCCUGUACUGGUUGAAGUCUGGAACACAUCCCUGUUUCAGGACCCAGAGGAGCCUGUGAGGCUUUGGGGAGAGAGCGUGCCUGGGCCAGAGGCUCAGGGCAGAGGGUCAGGUCCUGACUUGACACUUUCUUUGGCUGUGGUUUGCAUGGUGACUGCCGCAACUUGCAGCAAUGUUGGUGCUGUUGUGAUUGGGCUAAGAAAUGGCCCCGAGCAGCUUAUACAAGGGCAUCCAGGAUGAAUCAGGAGUGUUAGGCAGUGGCCCGAGCUGUGAUGGAGUGAACACGUGUGCAUAUGCUCACAUGUGUGGGCAUUGUAGCACAGGCUUCACUCCUCUGAGUCACCUCAAUGUACGUCAGGGGGGACGAGGCUGGGAGACCGGAUACCUGGCUUCAGUAUAGUGUCCCACCCACCCACCUGAGCCUCAGGUUCUCACCUCUUUUCAUGGGCAGUGCAGUAUCCUUGGUUCUUUGGGUCAUGGGAGUCCCUCAUGGCACGUGCUAUCGCAUUGGCCCCUCAGGAGACUGUGACAGACUGCCAGACAUAGGGACAACUUUGCUCCCGAGACCCUUUCUCUCACCCUGGCUGCAGCUGCCAACAGGCCCGUCUACCUUCCAGAGCCUCUUAGGGCAGAUGUGAGCAUUGAAUCAUCAUUGCAGCCCAUGCCUAUAGUCCCGUAGGUUCCACUCUUGUCCCCAAAGCUGCAGAACUCUGGAUCUUUGCAGGGACACGGCCUCAUUUACUAUUGAGCCUCUGGCCACUUGCUGAUUACGAGGCUCUGUGGAUAUCCCUUCCUAAAUGGGGCUGAUAAUAUGAGAACACAUGCUGAGAUUAGAGAUGAAGUAAGAAACCCCCAUCCACUCUCCUGGUUUUCCAGCCCAGUGCAGUCCUGGUGUUCUGCUCACCAAAUGUCUUCUGAGGCUUAGGACAGAUGGGAGCUGGAUAGUUGCCCUGACUGCAGGCUGCUGAGUGGAGGUUUGUGUCACGCAGCCAGCUGCCGCAAAAGACAAGGGCUUGUCCCCAGGCCCCAGGAUUGGCCUCUGUGUCUUUGGACAGAGGUGCCAGGGUCUGUGGGGACUGCCACCAGCUCCAGGGCUCAGCUGGCUAGAAGCCUGUCUGCUGACACUGGGGCAAUUAGGGUGUAAUCUUCUCUAAAUGGUGCCUGAUUCUGGCUAAAUCCCUCCUGCCCAAGUGUGGAUUCCCAGUUUUCUAAAAGCAGCUUAGUAUUUGGAUGCUGCCCAGGGCAGCUGGGGUUUGUGGUUGUUGAUAGGAUGGAUAUGGGCGGAUGGGACAGACGUGGGGGAUGGGAGUGAUCCCUGUGUGGGCACCAGCCCUUGGGUGCAGUUCUCCUGAUCCCUAAAGCCAAUGUGCAGGUGCUCUGCUGGAAAACUGAAGCCAAAAGCCACACAGCAGGAAGGGCAGGCCAGGCCAGUGGAGGACAGAUGUCAACAGGGAUGGGCCCUUGGCAUGUUCAUCUGAUGCAUGAGGCUUGUCUGCUGGGUAGGGUGUGUGUGGGUGUGCCUGUAGCCUCUGUUCCCAUGUCAGUUCCCAGGAAGAGCCCCCAGCCCAGGAGGUCCCCACCUUCUCCUGCAGGGGGGAUCUGUGUAGCCUUUCUGGGCUCCUCCCUGCCCUCCUGCCAGCUGAGGCUGGCGGGCUCCUUGGAGCCCAGCUCCACCCCUUACCCCACCAUAUCCAGUACACCUACCCUUCCCUGGACAUCCCAGCUCUGGGAACCACUCUGCUGCAAAGAAGAAGAGUGCCUUUUGGUAUGAGAAGCUCUGUAGUACCCCCUGGGAGAUCAUCUGAAUUUGCUAAGCCUUGGUUUUGCUCACCUGUGAAAUCUGAGUGAAAAAUUGCUUCUUUGAAGUUGCUGUCAUGGCUCAGCCAUUAAUGAACUGGACUACAUCCUUGAGGACCCUGGUUUGAUCCCUGUCUCACUCAGCAGGUUAAGGAUCUGGCGUUGCCUUGAGCUGUGGUGUAGGUUGCAGAUGAAGCUCGGGAUCCUGAGUUGCUGUGGCUGUGGCGUAGGCUGGUGACUAAAUCUCCAAUUCGACCCCUGGCCUGGGAACCUUCGUAUGCCGCGGGUACAGUCCUAAAAAGACCAAAAAAAAAUAAAAAUAAAAA
rnacentral:lncRNA from 1 species